rnacentral:rRNA from 1 species
UACGUAGGGGGCUAGCGUUGUCCGGAAUCAUUGGGCGUAAAGAGCGUGUAGGCGGUUCGGUAAGUCCGCUGUGAAAGUCGGGGGCUCAACCCUCGAAUGCCGGUGGAUACGGUCGGGCUAGAGUGCGGAAGAGGCGAGUGGAAUUCCUGGUGUAGCGGUGAAAUGCGCAGAUAUCAGGAGGAACACCAAUUGCGAAGGCAGCUCGCUGGGACGUAACUGACGCUGAGACGCGAAAGCGUGGGGAGCGAGCAGG